GAACAAGUAAUAUGGAGGAAGAGAAGUUAAUAUUGUCCGUCUCCGAGUACUCGGAGUUGUACAACACAGGGUCGUCAGUUUGAAGAUGAGACGAUCAGGGAGAAAGGAGUGGAUAUAUGUUUCCAUGGCUGAGAAAGGGCCCUAAGGAGAGCUGAGUCUUCAUAGCAGCACAAACUGUCCUUGGCAGAGUUGAUCUUUUGGAGAUUCGAAGGUACAGUGGGGCGAUUUCUGCCGUCCCGUGGAAAAGGAGACGCACUGAAUCCCAAGCUCCUGCCCCCCGAUGUAUCUGGAUUGGACUUCCCUGACCUCAGCACCACGUUACUGGAUCCUCAGCUAAUGUAUUAUUGCACCACUAUGUCACUGUAGAUAUAACUUGUUGUAAUCAUAACUUGUUG